AGAGUUUGAUCCUGGCUCAGAACGAACGCUGGCGGCGUGGCUAAGGCAUGCAAGUCGAACGGACGUAUCCGGAAGGAAACGGAAGGGUACGUCAGUGGUGAACGGGUGAGGAAUACAUGGAUGACGUACCCCGGACACGGGGAUAGCGGCGGGGCGCAAGCCCCUUUAGCGAAAGUGCCGGUAAUACCCGAUGACCCCGUCGGAUCGCAUGGUCCGGCGGGCAAAGGCUCCGACGGUCCGGGAGCGGUCCAUGUCCUAUCAGCUAGUUGGUGAGGUAACGGCUCACCAAGGCGACGACGGGUAUCGGGCGUGAGAGCGUGGUCCGACACAUCGGAACUGAGACACGGUCCGGACACCUACGGGUGGCUGCAGCAACGAAUAUUCCGCAAUGGGCGCAAGCCUGACGGAGCGACGCCGCGUGCAGGAAGAAGUCCCUUGGGAUGUAAACUGCUGUCAGGGGUGAGGAAUAAUGAUUAGCCCCGAAGGAAGCACUGGCUAACUCCGUGCCAGCAGUUGCGGUAACACGGAGAGUGCAAGCGUUGUUCGGAAUUACUGGGCUUAAAGCGCGUGUAGGCGGGGUGCCAGGUGCCGGGUGAAAGCCCCGGUUUUAAUCCGGGAAUGGCCCGGCAAACCGGUGCUCUUGAGGCAGGUAGAGGCGACUGGAACGACUGGUGGAGCGGUGAAAUGCGUAGAUAUCAGUUGGAACGCCGGAGGCGAAAGCGGGUCGCUUGACCUGUCCUGACGCUGAGACGCGAAAGCGUGGGGAGCGAACAGGAUUAGAUAUCCUGGUAGUCCACGCCGUAAACGAUGCGCACUAGGUAUGAGGGGUAUUGACACCGCUCGUGCCGAAGCAAAAGUGCUAAGUGCGCCGCCUGGGGAGUAUGGCCGCAAGGCUAAAACUCAAAGGAAUUGACGGGGGCUCACACAAGCGGUGGAGCAUGUGGAUUAAUUCGAAACUACGCGAAGAACCCUACCUGGGUUUGACAUGCAUGGAUGCCGUCCAUGAAAGUGGAUCCGGUUGCCUUUGGGUGAAACGUGCACAGGUGCUGCAUGGCUGUCGUCAGCUCGUGCUGUGAAGUGUCGGGUUAAGUCCCUUAACGAGCGAAACCCCUAUCGUUAGUUGCCAUCGGGUCAUGCCGGGGACUCUAGCGAGACUGCCGGUGUUAAACCGGAGGAAGGUGGGGAUGACGUCAAGUCAUCAUGGCCCUUAUGCCCAGGGUGUCUCACGUGCUACAAUGGCCGGUACAGAGCGACGCGAUACCGUGAGGUGGAGCAAACCGCAGAAAGCCGGCCUCAGUUCGGAUUGGAGUCUGCAACCCGACUCCAUGAAGCUGGAAUCGCUAGUAAUCGCGCAUCAGCCAUGGCGCGGUGAAUGUGUUCCUGAGCCUUGUACACACCGCCCGUCAAGUCAUGGAAGCCGGGAGUACCCGAAGUCCGCUUAGCUAACCCGUAAGGGAGGCGGCGGCCGACGGUAAGACCGGUGACUGGGACUAAGUCGUAACAAGGUA
rnacentral:rRNA from 1 species